rnacentral:lncRNA from 1 species
CCCCCCCCCSCACACACACAGAUGUUUCAAUCAUAAUCUUAUAGGAUAUUGAAAUACCAUACACAUGUUAAUGUACCUCAUGUGUAGGUUAUAUCUGACAGCAGGUUGUUUUGAAACCUGUCCGUCGUUUUGGCGUCAAGAGGCAGCCGCAGCACAUCAAUCAAGCUGACAAUCACCAGCUGGCUAGCUCAAAGCCUAGCUUAAGUUUAGCUAGUUGUCAGAUACAUAAACGAACUGUCUAGCUAGCUAUCGUACAUUAUUGAGCGGCUUGAUUAUAAUUCAAUCCUUACGAUAUAUGAAUUAUAAUGACUAGUUAGGCAUCGUUUGAAUCCUCUGAGCGGUCCUAACUCCCGGACGGAGAGAAGAGCAUUGGGAGUCAAGGCUCAAGACUAGUUAGCUAGCCCACAUCGAAAUUGAAAGCCACUUUGUCAAGAGCAGAGUUCUUGGCAGUUGGAACCCCCUCCAUCCCUCUCCCAGAUUCCAGCCACUCAGGACAUCCAAAAAGAGGCAGAGGAUCUUUCAUCAUUCAAUUUCUCUCAGAGGUCCAAGAAAUUCAUUCCCCCUUUGAAAAGAACAGUCGGCAGUGAUGGUUUCAUACAAAAGAACACAGAUUUUAAUCAAAUUACCAGUGAUGGAGGAAAAGAACCUGAGGGCCAGGGCGGGUGUGCUCUCUGGUCUCAGGAAGACUUCAUGAACAAGUCCCAGUGUUCCACAAUGGUCAGCAGAGGUCGAACUGAAACCCCACAGGAGUCUGGUCAUGCGCUAGAGCAGAAACAUUUUCCUCUGGACUUCAGCCAAAGCCCACCUGUACGGAGAAGUUUGUUCAAACCUCUCAUUGGUCAGGUGUUGAACAGUGGCGCAGACUUGAACACCCGCCACAGCCAGACAAGACCCAGAGAGCAGCAAACCUUCAACCAGGUUUCCAUGGCGACAGAGCCUCGACUGGCAAGACAGUCAGCAGCAGGCCCCAGCCCCCUCAGCGGGCUGGGUCCGGCUGCAGCACGGGGACCCCCACCGCAUACACCGGACAAGGCAACCAAGAGGGCGAAGUCCUGCCCCA